rnacentral:rRNA from 1 species
AUACGGAGGAUGCAAGCGUUAUCCGGAUUUAUUAGGUUUAAAGGGUGCGUAGGCUGUUCGGAAAGUCAGGGGUGAAAGCCCGGCGCCUAACGCCGGAACUGCCUUUGAUACUUCCGAGCUGGAAUACGGAUGCCGUGGGAGGAAUGAGUAGUGUAGCGGUGAAAUGCAUAGAUAUUACUCAGAACACCGAUUGCGGAGGCAUCUCACGAAUCCGUCAUUGACGCUGAGGCACGAAAGCGUGGGGAUCAAACAGGAUUAGAUACCCUGGUAGUCCACGCAGUAAACGAUGAUGACUAACCGUCGGCGAUACACAGUCGGUGGCCAAGCGAAAGCGAUAAGUCAUCCACCUGGGGAGUACGUUCGCAAGAAUGAAACUCAAAUGAAUUGACGGGG